rnacentral:rRNA from 1 species
GAGUUUGAUCUUGGCUCAGAGUGAACGCUGGCGGCAGGCCUAACACAUGCAAGUCGAACGGCAGCGCAGCAGUAGCAAUACUGUGGGCGGCGAGUGGCGGACGGGUGAGGAAUACAUCGGAAUCUACCUUGUCGUGGGGGAUAACGUAGGGAAACUUACGCUAAUACCGCAUACGAACUACGGUUGAAAGCGGGGGCUCGCAAGAACCUUGCGCGAUUGGAUGAGCCGAUGUCCGAUUAGCUAGUUGGCGGGGUAAGAGCCCACCAAGGCGACGAUCGGUAGCUGGUCUGAGAGGAUGAUCAGCCACACUGGAACUGAGACACGGUCCAGACUCCUACGGGAGGCAGCAGUGGGGAAUAUUGGACAAUGGGCGCAAGCCUGAUCCAGCCAUGCCGCGUGUGUGAAGAAGGCCU